GGGUGCGACCAUACCAGCACUAACGCAACGGAUCCCAUUAUAACUCCGAAGUUAAGUGUGCUUGGGCGAGAGUAGUACUAGGAUGGGUGACCCCCUGGGAAGUCCUCGUGUUGCACCCC
rnacentral:rRNA from 1 species